rnacentral:rRNA from 1 species
AUUGAACGCUGGCGGCAUGCCUUACACAUGCAAGUCGAACGGCAGCACGGGUGCUUGCACCUGGUGGCGAGUGGCGAACGGGUGAGUAAUAUAUCGGAACGUACCUUAUUGUGGGGGAUAACGCAGCGAAAGCUGUGCUAAUACCGCAUAAUCCCUAAGGGGGAAAGCGGGGGACCGUCAGGCCUCGCGCAAUUAGAGCGGCCGAUACCUGAUUAGCUAGUUGGUGAGGUAAAGGCUCACCAAGGCAACGAUCAGUAGCUGGUCUGAGAGGACGAUCAGCCACACUGGGACUGAGACACGGCCCAGACUCCUACGGGAGGCAGCAGUGGGGAAUUUUGGACAAUGGGGGCAACCCUGAUCCAGCAAUGCCGCGUGAGUGAAGAAGGCCUUCGGGUUGUAAAGCUCUUUUGUCAGGGAAGAAACAGCAGCUCUAACACAGUUUGCGAAUGACGGUACCUGAAGAAUAAGCACCGGCUAACUACGUGCCAGCCGCCGCGGUAA